rnacentral:rRNA from 1 species
UACGAAGGGGGCUGGCGUUGCUCGGAAUCACUGGGCGUAAAGCGCACGUAGGCGGACUCUUAAGUCGGGGGUGAAAUCCUGGAGCUCAACUCCAGAACUGCCUUCGAUACUGGGAGUCUUGAGUUCGGGAGAGGUGAGUGGAACUGCGAGUGUAGAGGUGAAAUUCGUAGAUAUUCGCAAGAACACCAGUGGCGAAGGCGGCUCAUUGGCCCGAUACUGACGCUGAGGUGCGAAAGCGUGGGGAGCAAACAGG